rnacentral:rRNA from 1 species
CCUACGGGUGGCAGCAGUGAGGAAUAUUGGUCAAUGGACGAAAGGCUGAACCAGCCAAGCCGCGUGAGGGAGGAAUGCGCUAAGUGUUGCAAACUUCUUUUACAGGGGGAUAAAAUGCUGCACGUGUGGGGUUCUGUAGGUACCCGGAGAAUAAGGAUCGGCUAACUCCGUGCCAGCAGCCGCGGUAAUACGGAGGAUCCGAGUGUUAUCCGGAUUUAUUGGGUUUAAAGGGAGCGUAGGUGGGUUGUUAAGUCAGUAGUGAAAGUUUGGGGCUCAACCGCACAAUUGCAGUUGAAACUGGCAGUCUGGAGUGCAGCAGAGGUAAGCGGAAUUCGUGGUGUAGCGGUGAAAUGCUUAGAUAUCACGAAGAACUCCGAUUGCGAAGGCAGCGUACUGGACUGCAACUGACGCUGAGGCUCGAAAGUGUGGGGAUCAAACAGGAUUAGAUACCCCUGUAGUC